CCCACUUCCCCUAAGUGGAAACUGAGGCACUGGAGGAACAGCUUCUGAGAUAGCCCAGGAAAAGAAGCACAGAGAUUUCCCACAAACCUGUAUCCUGGCAGGGCAGCUGAGAGGACCCACACUGAACCUUGCAUCCAGGUGGAGGGAAGGGACCGCAGCUGGUGAUGGAAGAUGGGGGUGGGAUGGCUUUUGAUUCCAGAGUAGGUGUAGGAGGCAUCACUGGGGAUGUGGCAGCUGCAUGGGACCUACAAGUAGAAAUCACAAAAACAAAAUAGUGAAAAAGAAGAGCAUUCUGGAUGGAGUCAUGAGGACGUGGUGUGCUGUACAGGUGGGAAACAAAGCAAGAGGGGACAUGCGAACUGCAGGCCACCCCGAGCCCCUCCUCCGAGUGGGACAUGGGCAAAGCACUUCAAAGAAUCCACUCACUUCAAGUGAGCACUUUCUAAAGUAAGCCCUGUUACAAGCGUCAUUUUGCAACAGAAGUAACAGAGGUACCCACGGGGUGUUGCAUGCAUCUGGCUGGUGACAGAGCUCACAAGCCUGCAACGUGUUUUUGGGUAAUUGGUAAGAAGGGAGAGAAAAAGGACGGGAGGAAGGAGAGGGGAGCAGAGGGAAAGGGAAAAAGCAGGCCGGGGGCAGUCCUGGGGCCUCGGGGUGUUUAGUUCCCAUCCUGCUCUGCCUUAGCCUGGACCAAGCUGGUUGUAGGCAUCUUUAGUUCUUGGUUCUUUGAGGGGGACACUUGAGAAGUUUUUAACAAAUUGCAGGGUCUAAAAAGAUUCACUUGAGUCAAGACAGUCUCCCUUCCUCAGUCCUUUCCUAGCUCUGAUCCUGGUGUUUGAAGUUUUCUCAAAUCCUUCAAAGAAAGAAAACCCUCUCUUCACCUGGCAUUGUUGGCUACUGAGAGGAAAUUUAGCCCAGGUGGUUGUAGGGGGAGCGUUACUCCUGGUCCUCCUGGUCCUAGGCUCAUCCUGCAGCCCUGGGGGUUUGCCCUGCAGGGCGCCUUCUACCCAGACUUGUGCGUCAGUGUGUGUGUGUAGCAUAAUUUAAAUGAGAAGAGUUUCCUUUGCUGGAAUGUUCACUACCAGGGAGCUUGGUGGGAAAGAAGCUGCCAGGAAAUGCCUGCUUGAUCACUGCUUUCUCGAGGUUAUUAAGAAAACUAACGGGAGCAACUUGCAUAGUCCUGCAGCGUUGGAAGCUCUCCAUAAAUAGUGGCCAAAAAUGAAGUCUGUUUUGUGGUUACAAGAAGCCAGAUCUCUCUGCUAUGAACUCCCUACAGUCCUCGCCUGUGUACACUGGUCAAGGUUGUGCACAGUACCACACUGCAGAUUUAUGUUCUGUUACACAUUACCUGACUGCAUGUAAAAAUUGUGAGAAUAAAAUUGAAAUCAUUAA